rnacentral:rRNA from 1 species
CUGGCUCAGGAUGAACGCUAGCGGGAGGCCUAACACAUGCAAGCCGAGCGGUAUUUGUUCUUCUGAACAGAGAGAGCGGCGUACGGGUGCGGAACACGUGUGCAACCUGCCUUUAUCAGGGGGAUAGCCUUUCGAAAGGAAGAUUAAUACCCCAUAAUAUAUUAAGUGGCAUCACUUGAUAUUGAAAACUCCGGUGGAUAGAGAUGGGCACGCGCAAGAUUAGAUAGUUGGUAGGGUAACGGCCUACCAAGUCAGUGAUCUUUAGGGGGCCUGAGAGGGUGAUCCCCCACACUGGUACUGAGACACGGACCAGACUCCUACGGGAGGCAGCAGUGAGGAAUAUUGGACAAUGGGUGAGAGCCUGAUCCAGCCAUCCCGCGUGAAGGACGACGGCCCUAUGGGUUGUAAACUUCUUUUGUAUAGGGAUAAACCUUUCCACGUGUGGAAAGCUGAAGGUACUAUACGAAUAAGCACCGGCUAACUCCGUGCCAGCAGCCGCGGUAAUACGGAGGGUGCAAGCGUUAUCCGGAUUUAUUGGGUUUAAAGGGUCCGUAGGCGGAUCUGUAAGUCAGUGGUGAAAUCUCACAGCUUAACUGUGAAACUGCCAUUGAUACUGCAGGUCUUGAGUAAAGUAGAAGUGGCUGGAAUAAGUAGUGUAGCGGUGAAAUGCAUAGAUAUUACUUAGAACACCAAUUGCGAAGGCAGGUCACUAUGUUUUAACUGACGCUGAUGGACGAAAGCGUGGGGAGCGAACAGGAUAGAUACCCUGGUAGUCCACGCCGUAAACGAUGCUAACUCGUUUUUGGGGCUUCGGCUUCAGAAACUAAGCGAAAGUGAUAAGUUAGCCACCUGGGGAGUACGUUCGCAAGAAUGAAACUCAAAGGAAUUGACGGGGGCCCGCACAAGCGGUGGAUUAUGUGGUUUAAUUCGAUGAUACGCGAGGAACCUUACCAAGGCUUAAAUGGGAAUUGAUCGGUUUAGAAAUAGACCUUCCUUCGGGCAAUUUUCAAGGUGCUGCAUGGUUGUCGUCAGCUCGUGCCGUGAGGUGUUAGGUUAAGUCCUGCAACGAGCGCAACCCCUGUCACUAGUUGCCAUCAUUAAGUUGGGGACUCUAGUGAGACUGCCUACGCAAGUAGAGAGGAAGGUGGGGAUGACGUCAAAUCAUCACGGCCCUUACGCCUUGGGCCACACACGUAAUACAAUGGCCGGUACAGAGGGCAGCUACACAGCGAUGUGAUGCAAAUCUCGAAAGCCGGUCUCAGUUCGGAUUGGAGUCUGCAACUCGACUCUAUGAAGCUGGAAUCGCUAGUAAUCGCGCAUCAGCCAUGGCGCGGUGAAUACGUUCCCGGGCCUUGUCACACCGCCCGUCAAGCCAUGGAAGUCUGGGGUACCGAAGUCGGUGACCGUAACAGGAGCGCUAGGGUAAAA